UACGUAGGGUGCGAGCGUUGUCCGGAAUUAUUGGGCGUAAAGAGCUCGUAGGCGGCCUGUCGCGUCGGAUGUGAAAGCCCGGGGCUUAACCCCGGGUCUGCAUUCGAUACGGGCAGGCUAGAGUGUGGUAGGGGAGAUCGGAAUUCCUGGUGUAGCGGUGAAAUGCGCAGAUAUCAGGAGGAACACCUGUGGCGAAAGCGGCUCACUGGACCAUUACUGACGCUGAUGCACGAAAGCUAGGGGAGCAAACAGG
rnacentral:rRNA from 1 species